UUCCCGUCCCUCCUCCCCCUCCCUCCCCUCCCCCUUCCCCAUCCCCUGCAAUCCGCACUCGACGCGAGUUCACGCCAAGGGCUGGAUUUCCAGGCUGCACCGCACCGGGCGCUGCGUUAUUAUUAUUCAUCGGAGGCUGCGGCGCCACCACCUUUGCCUCCCGCGCGGCUCUCCGGGCCCCCCGCGCGCCCCUGCCCGCACCCGUCCGCGGCGCACCCGAGGCAGACGCUGCAUCCCUUCGGCCACGCUCGCGGUCCUUUCCAGCACGAAGCUCCUGACCGUGGGGCUUCACCCCCUCCUGCCAGGUGCAGCGACCACCAGCUCGCCGUGGCCGCCGCCCGCCCCUGCCCCCGCUCAGCAAACAAGCCGGCCCGAGCGGGGCGGCCGCUCCCUGGACGCGGGCAGCGGCGCGCACCCCUCCCUCCGCCAUCUGCAUAUAUAUUAUCCUCAUCCCUUUUAUCCCGGUAGAUCCGCUGCCUUUCCCGGGCGCACCGGAACGCUGAGGACCGCAGUCUCGAAAGCCGAAGAACAAAAAGAAGAAGACCUGCCGGACCGCCCCCCCCCCCCAUCCUGGACAAAAGCACCUGGGGCCGGGCGAGAAGGGGCGCGCACCGGUGACCUCGGUGCCCAGGGGCGCCCGCCCUGCGCGUGGACUUGCAGGCUCUCCGGAUGCAAUUGCACCCAGCCGCAUCCGACAGCAGUGACCUUUUAAAUUUGGGCGCGCACCCCCCUCUCCUUUACCUGACGAGUUCCGGCCAGGCUGCCGCCCGCGCUCCCGGCCCCGGGCCGCGCCAGGACCCCCGCCUGCGAGGAAAAAGCCUGGAUCCGCAGGGUGGGGGAGAACAAAGAGCCCGUGGAAGACGCCGGCCCCAUUGUCUGGGCACUGGGGGAGCCGCGGCCAGCGCGCACGCUCGCGCCCUGCUCCGGAUUUCUCCUGCUUUUCUCCCCAGCCCCCGCCUUUCUUCCCCUUCUCCUCCCCGCCUCGGUCCCUCGCAGAAGAAAGGCCUCUCUCUCCGUGUUCACAGCGGACCUUGAUUUAAAUGUCCAUACAAUUAAGGCACGCGGUGAAUGCCAAGAAUGGGGCUGGUUAAGCACCGGGAGUCGCCGCGGAACCCGGCAGCGCUGCGCCCGCGGGCCGGAGAGGGGCGCGGGGGGCCGGGGGUGCUUGCGGCGGACGGACUCCGGGAGAGGAACGGGCGGGGGGCGCCGACGCUGCGCCCCUCAAUCCCGGACCAGUGCGAGCGCGCAGAUGCGGGCGGGGAGCGCUUGGCUGGGGGCGCGUUUCGGUGCUGCCCUUUCCCGGGGCGCGUGGGGAGGGGGGCGCGGAUACCACUGAGCCCCGCGGCGGGGUUUGGGGGCCCGGGCUUCCUUUUUUGGUUUUGUC